UACGGAGGGUGCAAGCGUUGCUCGGAAUUAUUGGGCGUAAAGGGCAGGUAGGUGGUCUCAUUUGUCUGGGGUGAAAGCCUUGAGCUUAACUCAAGAAGUGCCCCAGAAACGGUGAGACUAGAGUCCUGGAGAGGGUCGUGGAAUUCCCGGUGUAGCGGUGAAAUGCGUAGAGAUCGGGAGGAACACCAGAGGCGAAGGCGGCGACCUGGACAGGAACUGACACUCAACUGCGAAAGCGUGGGGAGCAAACAGG
rnacentral:rRNA from 1 species